UUGCCCUGGGAACCGGAGCAGGGGCCCCGGGAGGGCCCUGCGCCAAGGGCAAGGCUGCCUCGAUGCGCAGAAGCCUCAGCAUCGUCCUGGCCUCGCUUGGGUCUUAACUUUUCCGUUUUGAAUACUAACUUUGGCUUUUGUCUCUUUUUUUAAACUACAGGUACUGUUUUCAUUAAAGGCGUUCUAAACACAAGAGUACUUUCCUAACUUUAGCCCCAGUUCCUGUCCGCAAAGGAAGCCUAUUAAGAAUUUCUUUAUAUCCAUAACCUGCAUAAUAUGCGUACAGGAAGCUCUGGAACGCAACGAAAGCAAGAUUCUUCGUCUGCAGCUUGAACUCUCAGAAACUAAAGCGGAAAUUGAAAGAAAGCUUUCAGAGAAAGAUGAAGAGAUAGAAAAAUAGGAGGAAGCAGCAGUGUGCUAUUGACUCCCUGCAGUCGAGUCUAGAUUCUGAAGUUCGGAGCAGAAUUGAGG
rnacentral:lncRNA from 1 species